GUGUAGCGGUGAAAUGCGUAGAUGAUUGGGAAGAACACCUGGUGGACGAAAGCGCUCUGCUGGACCAAGACUGACACUGAGGGACGAAAGCUAGGGGAGCGAAUGGCGAUUAGAUACCCCAGUAGUCCUAGCCGUAAACGAUGGAUACUAGGCGUUGUUGGUAUCGACCCCAGCAGUGCCGGGAGCUAACGCGUUAAGUAUCCCGCCUGGGGAGUUACGCGCGCAAGCGUGAAACUCAAAGGAAUUGACGGGGGCCCGCACAAGCGGUGGAGUAUGUGGUUUAAUUCGAUGCAACGCGAAGAACCUUACCAGGAGCUUGACAUGUCGCGAAUCGGGGGGAC
rnacentral:rRNA from 1 species